CUUGUCCAUGUCAGCCGGCCUCUCCUUGCGGGCCUGCUCGGGUGCUUUGGUCCUUUUGUGGGAACUAUAGUUUCCCAUGGCAGGGCUGGUCACCACUGGGGACGAUGGCCCACACUCCGUCUGCUCUGCCCUCUGGGCCCUGGCAACAUUGUGACCUCACGGGCUGACCUCACCAAUUGCAGUCUCUGAGCACUGCCUUCCAGGGCCCACAGGAAUACGAGAGGGCCUCCAAAGUGGACCAGUUUGUGACGCGCUUCCUGCUGCGGGAGACGGUGAGCCAGCUGCAAGCCCUGCAGAGCUCGCUGGAGGGGGCGUCAGAUACCCUGGAGGCCCAGGCCUGUGGCUGGCGGCUUGUCCCUUCCUGGGGCCCCAGUCCUUGGCCCUGUGAGCCUCACUUCCUCUAGGUCAGAUGCAGAGAGCGUGGAGGUGCAGAGCAGGCCCUGCGGCAGCCGGCGGGCAGGACGCCGGGCCCUGAGGAGUGUCAGCCGGUCAUCCACUUGGUCCCCCGGCUCUUCUGACACAGGGCGCAGCUCAGAGGCCGAGAUGCAGUGGCGGCUCCAGGUGAACCGCCUCCAGGAGCUCAUUGACCAGCUCGAG
rnacentral:sRNA from 1 species